CCUACGGGUGGCUGCAGUGGGGAAUAUUGCACAAUGGGGGAAACCCUGAUGCAGCGACGCCGCGUGAGUGAAGAAGUCCUUCGUUAUGUAAAGCUCUAUCAGCAGGGAAGAAAAUGACGGUACCUGAGUAAGCAGCCCCGGCUCACUACGUUCCAGCAGCCGCGGUAAUGCGUAGGGGGCAAGCGUUAUCCGGAUUUACUGGGUGUAAAGGGAUCGUAGACGGCAGUGCAAGUCUGGAGUGAAAGGCGGGGGCUCAACCCCCGGACUGCUCUGGAAACUGUACGGCUGGAGUGUGUGAGAGGAUAGUGGAAUUCCAGGUGUAGGAGUGAAAUCCGUAGAUAUCUGGAGGAACAUCAGUGGCGAAGGCGACUAUCUGGAACAUAACUGACGCUGAGGAGCGAAAGCGUGGGUAGCAAACAGGAUUAGAUACCCUUGUAGUC
rnacentral:rRNA from 1 species